rnacentral:rRNA from 1 species
GACGAACGCUGGCGGCGUGCUUAACACAUGCAAGUCGAACGGUGAAGGGGUCUGCUUUUGUGGGCCCUGGAUGAGUGGCGAACGGGUGAGUAACACGUGAGUAACCUGCCCCCUUCUUCUGGAUAACCGCAUGAAAGUGUGGCUAAUACGGGAUAUUCUGGGUCUGCCGCAUGAUGGGUCUGGGAAAGAUUGCGCCUUUGGGUGUUUUUGGUGGGGGAUGGGCUCGCGGCCUAUCAGCUUGUUGGUGGGGUGAUGGCCUACCAAGGCGGUGACGGGUAGCCGGCCUGAGAGGGUGGACGGUCACACUGGGACUGAGACACGGCCCAGACUCCUACGGGAGGCAGCAGUGGGGAAUAUUGAACAAUGGGCGCAAGCCUGAUGCAGCGACGCCGCGUGAGGGAUGGAGGCCUUCGGGUUGUAAACCUCUUUCGCCAGUGAAGCAGGCCUGCUCCUUGUGGGUGGGUUGACGGUAGCUGGAUAAGAAGCGCCGGCUAACUACGUG